CACCGCCGCGGUAAUACGGAGGGUGCAAGCGUUAUCCGGAUUUAUUGGGUUUAAAGGGUCCGUAGGCGGACUUAUAAGUCAGUGGUGAAAGCCUGUCGCUUAACGAUAGAACUGCCAUUGAUACUGUAAGUCUUGAGUAUAUUUGAGGUAGCUGGAAUAAGUAGUGUAGCGGUGAAAUGCAUAGAUAUUACUUAGAACACCAAUUGCGAAGGCAGGUUACCAAGAUAUAACUGACGCUGAGGGACGAAAGCGUGGGUAGCGAACAGGAUUAGAUACCCCAGUAGUCCCUGUCUCUUAUACA
rnacentral:rRNA from 1 species